UAAACUCUAAAUAAAAGAACCAAAAUAAGUUUUCAAAGGUCACCAAUGUCUAACAAAGGUGACUCUAAAUAUUAAGAAGUUACUAUCAAUCAAAACCAAUUUUAAAAUCCACUAUCAAAAAGAAAAUUAAAGUUAUACAAAUUCUAUAGUAAUCUUUUUAAAUAACCUCUUCUUAAGGUAAUAAUCAAAUUAUAUUCUACAACCAACUAAAAUCUACUAACAUGGCUC
rnacentral:lncRNA from 1 species